CAGUAGCCACGGGAAUACGAAGGGUGCAAGCGUUACUCGGAAUUACUGGGCGUAAAGCGUGCGUAGGAGGUUGUUUAAGUCUGCUGUGAAAGCCCUGGGCUCAACCUGGGAAUUGCAGUGGAUACUGGGCGACUAGAGUAAGGUAGAGGAUAGUGGAAUUUCCGGUGUAGCAGUGAAAUGCGUAGAGAUCGGAAGGAACAUCUGUGGCGAAGGCGACUAUCUGGGCCAUUACUGACACUGAGGCACGAAAGCGUGGGGAGCAAACAGGAUUAGAUACCCGCGUAGUCCCUGUCUCUUAUAC
rnacentral:rRNA from 1 species